rnacentral:rRNA from 1 species
CCUACGGGAGGCAGCAGUGGGGAAUAUUGGUCAAUGGGCGCAAGCCUGACCCAGCAACGCCGCGUGAAGGAAGAAGGCUUUCUGGUUGUAAACUUCUUUUCUCAGGGACGAAGCAAGUGACGGUACCUGGGGAAUAAGCCUCGGCUAACUACGUGCCAGCCGCCGCGGUACUCCGUAGGUGGCAAGCGUUAUACGGAUUUACUGGGUGUAAAGGGCGUGUAGGCGGGAAAGGAAGUCAGAUGUGAAAACCAUGGGCUCAACCUGUGGCCUGCAUUUGAAACUGGUUGUCUUGAGUACUGGAGAGGUGGACGGAAUUCGUAGUGUAGCGGUGAAAUGCGUAGAGAUUAGGAGGAACACCAGUGGCGAAGGCGGUCUGCUGGACAGCAACUGACGCUGAGGCGCGAAAGCGUGGGGAGCAAACAGGAUUAGAUACCCGGGUAGUC